rnacentral:lncRNA from 1 species
AAAUGUGUUGCAUACAUAGCUGAAAAUUGUGAGCAAUAUUUAAAGUAAGUUAAAACUUAUAAGCAUUCAUAAUACAUAAGCCUGUUUUUUCAAUCUUAAACAAAAAAACAUAUUUUUUAUGUCCUAAAAACAUUUAUAAUUAUAAAUCAUAACUGGGGCAAGAUGCGCAAUUGAAGAAAAUGCCCUCACACUGUAUGCACAACUACUGAAGGAGUACAUUUAACAGAAACUACACAAUACACAGUGAUGUUAGUAUCGUUCAAAAGGAGGAAUGCAAAUGAAAAAGUCUUCAGCAAACUCAAUCCAUCAAUUUUAAAUGAUACCAUUCAUUCUGUUCUUUGGGCAUGCAACAGAAGCGAUGUUGUGUUAUUCCAUCCGAGACAGCAGCCUAGCACCACACAAAGGACAACAGGAGGCCUUUCUCAGCCUAGAUUGCGAGAGAAAAAUAAACAAAGAAAGUGUUUAUUUGUGAUGAUUUUGCUCUAGAUGGACUUCAUGUGUGGAAAAGCUCAGGCAGAGUUUGACGCACCUUUAUUUUUUCGAAGAAACGGAUGCAGCAUCUCUCAGCCCCCUCCAAAAUCUUGCAAAGGUACAAAUAUGCAAGUUUUCAUAGAUAAAUGUGUAUUUAGAUAACUUGCUCCAGCUUGGUUGCCAUAGUCCAAUUAGAGAAUAUUUUGAAAUCAUCUCCAUGACAACUAAUCAUCAGUUAAUAAUUUAAUUUUAAAGCAGGUCCAGAAAGAAGCAACUAAUUUAUGUUCACAUAUUUCUCUCGUCUAAUAGUAAGUAGCAAGCUAGACAAAAUUAGCCUCAACAGCGGAUGCAACUAUUUCUCACGGCCAAGGAUCAUCUUGUAAGUAGGGGAAAAAUUGAAAAUAAUGCAAGUCAUUAUUUAAAAGCGUAUCCAGGUAGACCUUUUAAGAGGCAAUACGUUAGAACAAUCAUGAGUAUCCAUCUACGUACUAAUUAAAUAUCACCUCAUAGACUCAUAGUAACUGCAUAUAACCUGAUAAUAGCCUUUUUAAGAAUAUUUUGGGUCUCGUCACAUGGUGAAGAUAGCUAGCUAAACCGUAUAUGUAAUAUAAAAAGAAGUUCUUCAAUAAAAUUAAAGCAGAUGUUGGCUAAUAUAAAAUUAAAUGAAAGUAUGAUUUAUCCAAGUGUUGACGUGAUAGCAAAUAUGACAGGGCCGUAUAUUUCUUAUAAUAGGUAUAUUAUUGGUCGACACUAAUGGAGACUGCAAAUAUACAGAGCAUCAUCCCUACCCACACUUAAACAGGAGUAGCGACAAUGUUUUUUUCGUAUGAUUAUAUGUACAAAAGUGUCAAAAAAACAUCGUGGAGGCUUACAAAUCCAAUCAGUAUUCAUCUCCAGUUGUGUGACCAUCUUCUGUCUUUUAGAUCAUAUUACUCCACUUACUAAGGAGACACAUACCAAACUGAAAUACUCUAGCUAUGCAAAUCAAGAUUACAAUGGGAGAUCAAUGCACAAACACAUAGGCUGCAUUUUUUGAGAGAAAAACAUCCACCAACUCAACCCCAUCAAUGCUUCUCUAAUCACAGAUAUGACUACUCCUCUGUCCACACACACACACACAAUAGAUCUGUACGUGGAUUAGAAAGGGAAAAAAAGGUAUAUCG